rnacentral:rRNA from 1 species
CGGUCAUAUGCUUGUCUCAAAGAUUAAGCCAUGCAAGUGUCAGCUCAAGCCGUACUAUGGUUAAGCCGCGGAAAGCUCAUUACAACAGCCAUUGUUCACUUGAUCUUGACUAUCCUACUUGGAUAACUGUGGUAAUUCUAGAGCUAAUACAUGCAACAAUGCUCUGGUAGCCCUUUGGGGUGACGAGCGCAGUUAUUAGAAUAAAACCAAUCGGGCUUCGGUCUGUCAGUUUGGUGGAUCUGAAUAACUACAGCUGAUCGCACAGUCUUCGCACUGGCGACAAAUCUUUCAAGUGUCUGCCUUAUCAGCUGUCGAUGGUACUCUAUAUGUCUACCAUGGCUGUAACGGGUAACGGAGAAUAAGGGUUCGACUCCGGAGAGGGAGCCUGAGAAACGGCUACCACAUCCAAGGAAGGCAGCAGGCGCGCAAAUUACCCACUCUCGGCAUGAGGAGGUAGUGACGAAAAAUAACGAGGUGGUUCUCUAAGAGGCCCACUAUCGGAAUGGGUACAAUUUAAACCCUUUAACGAGGACCUAUGAGAGGGCAAGUCUGGUGCCAGCAGCCGCGGUAAUUCCAGCUCUCAAGGUGUAUAUCGCCAUUGCUGCGGUUAAAAAGCUCGUAGUUGGAUCUACGGCAUUGGAGCCGGUCCACCCAAAGUGGUGAGAACUGGUUUCCGAGCCUCUAGUCGCUGGUCUAUCCUUGAUGCCCUUCACCGGGUGUCCUGGGUGGCUAGUGAGUUUACUUUGAA